rnacentral:rRNA from 1 species
GUGGGGAAUAUUGGACAAUGGGGGGAACCCUGAUCCAGCCAUGCCGCGUGUGUGAAGAAGGCCUUUUGGUUGUAAAGCACUUUAAGUGGGGAGGAGGCUUACCUGGUUAAUACCUGGGCUAAGUGGACGUUACCCACAGAAUAAGCACCGGCUAACUCUGUGCCAGCAGCCGCGGUAAUACAGAGGGUGCGAGCGUUAAUCGGAUUUACUGGGCGUAAAGCGCGCGUAGGUGGUUAAUUAAGUCAAAUGUGAAAUCCCCGAGCUUAACUUGGGAAUUGCAUUCGAUACUGGUUAGCUAGAGUAAGGGAGAGGAUGGUAGAAUUCCAGGUGUAGCGGUGAAAUGCGUAGAGAUCUGGAGGAAUACCGAUGGCGAAGGCAGCCAUCUGGCCUAAUACUGACACUGAGGUGCGAAAGCAUGGGGAGCAAACAGGAUUAGAUACCCCAGUAGUCC